CCGCAGAAUGGUUUUAAUUUUUUCUCUUUUUUUCGGCGAAAGAAUUAGCCCGAUCGGGUCACCGGUUUCGGAAAUACAGAUGUUUAAACUUGUAUUUUAUUUGCAUUGGUUUGAAUGUGAACGAAAUUGAGCGAACGCGACAAACCGUGCGUGACGUCAUCGAGGGUCAAAGAGAGUGGGAAACGAACAAAGCGCAGUUAGUGCUAGUACAGCUUGCUGAACCAGAGUUGAAGAGUGAACAUGGCUAAUUUAGAAAGUUCUGAUGGUGCAGAAUCAAUUUCUGACUUAGAUGAAGAUGUUGAGGAUAUACAUGGUGAUUAUGGAUACAUGUUGGAUCGGCUUAAACCUCCCUUGAGUAUUAGGAAAAUGGGGUGCAGGCCCUGAAGCCCAAACACCUUGCAAAUUGCCAAUAUUGCCAAUACGAAUGGCGAGCUGCAAUUGUUUUUUUUAUAUAUAUCAGAAGAUGAUACAUAUAAUAAUUUUCGUUAAGUUGCACAUGUGGCAAUUAUAUAUCAAUGCCCUCUCUUUUACAUUCGUUAUGUUGCUGUCAACUUAAAAAUAAAUUAAGGGAAAAAAAACAAUUUUAAGGCGCGUGUCGCAAUCCCUUGGUUUUAGAGACAGCACACUGAGCUUACAAACAAGAUUAUGGCAGAGUUGUGCACUCUAUUUCAAGGCAACACAAGUUUAGAAGAUUCAGACAUGUGGCCUACAGAUGUUGGACGACGUGUUCUUGUGCUUAUCCCAUCAUGUGUUGUUAACAUCUACAUUUCCAAGUGACACCUGUACUGGAUUCAAGUCUGCCGUCUUGGCAAAGUGAUUAGCAGUUAGCACACCUGCCUGUAAGCCAGAGGUAAUGGGUUCAAGGCUCGACGCUGUUACAAUUGUGGGCAAGGUGGAUGAACAACCAUGUUAUAACGACUAUUGUUUUCUGGGCAUCCAAUUUUAAAUUAAAUUUUCUAUUUUGUAAAAAACUUUAUUUGCAACAAAGCAUGGGCUGCAUUUGAAACGUCCUUGUCAGGUUGAAGAUAGUUGGAGGUUAACGGUGGUAGACAAGAAAGUAUUGGUGUGUCUAUGAAUGUCUUUUUACAUUUUCUAUGUUUUCCUCUUCGUAGGCUCGUUUGUGUUUUCUGGUUGUGUUGUGCAGUUUCAGUUUGAAUACACUUGUCAUCUUUCUCUGG